rnacentral:rRNA from 1 species
UCGAACCUUAAUCCGAAAAGGAACAACUUGCGAACGCGUAAUCACACAUGCGGCGCGUGGGGACUUUAACCGGUCCUCACGCUCGCCUAGUCCGUAGGGGCAUGUGCAUUCCGACGAGUGCACACUCGUUGGGCUGCACGUGGCUCUGUCGGAAUUCACCAAACCCCGGCGCGGAAAGCGUCAAGGACCUUUCAAACGAAACAGCUCACCCUGAAUGCAGCCUGUUAGGUUCGUAUUCGUGUGUUGCUGCGACCAUAAGUCUAAAACGACUCUCGGCAACGGAUAUCUCGGCUCUCGCAUCGAUGAAGAACGUAGCGAAAUGCGAUACUUGGUGUGAAUUGCAGAAUCCCGUGAACCAUCGAGUUUUUGAACGCAAGUUGCGCCCCAAGCCGUCAGGCCGAGGGCACGCUUGCCUGGGUGUCACGCAUCGUCAUCUCCCCCACCCGUCUAAGCUUUCGCUUCGGGUGGAGAUUAAGGAGAAGGAGAUUGGUCUCCCGUGUGUUACCGCACGCGGUUGGCCUAAAAUCGAGACAAGGGGGCGAGAAGCUACCUGACGAGCGGUGGUGUGUAGAUGCCUCGUGCAAAAGUCGGCUGCUUUCGUCCCAACGGAGUCUGUGACCCUUUAAGCGUCGCUUGUGCGAUUUCUUCGGACGCGACCCCAGGUUCAAGCGGGA